UGAAUAUCUACGCACCAAAUGCAAAGG
rnacentral:piRNA from 1 species